GAGCCGGUAGCUCAGUAGGUAGAGCAACGGCCUUUUAAGCCGUGGGUCCCGGGUUCGAUCCCCGGCCGGCUCACCA
rnacentral:tRNA from 1 species